GCUGAACGCUAGCGACAGGCUUAACACAUGCAAGUCGAGGGGCAGCGAGGCGGUAGCAAUACCGCUGUCGGCGACCGGCGCACUGGUGAGUAACACGUAUGCGACCUGCCCCCUACAGGGGUAUAACCCGUAGAAAUGCGGACUAAUCCCCCAUAGUCCCGGAGGCUGCAUGGCCUGCGGGGGAAAGGGUUUCCGGUAGGGGAUGGGCAUGCGGCGCAUUAGCUAGUUGGCGGGGCAACGGCCCACCAAGGCGACGAUGCGUAGGGGUUCUGAGAGGAAGGUCCCCCACACUGGUACUGAGACACGGACCAGACUCCUACGGGAGGCAGCAGUGAGGAAUAUUGGUCAAUGGGCGCAGGCCUGAACCAGCCAAGUCGCGUGAGGGAGGACGGUCCUACGGAUUGUAAACCUCUUUUGUCGGGGAGUAACGUGCGGGACGCGUCCCGUAUUGAGAGUACCCGAAGAAAAGCAUCGGCUAACUCCGUG
rnacentral:rRNA from 1 species